UACGUAGGGGGCAAGCGUUGUCCGGAUUUAUUGGGCGUAAAGAGCGCGUAGGCGGUUUGGUAGGUCCGCUGUGAAAACUCGAGGCUCAACCUCGAGACGCCGGUGGAAACCAUCAGGCUAGAGUCCGGAAGAGGAGAGUGGAAUUCCUGGUGUAGCGGUGAAAUGCGCAGAUAUCAGGAAGAACACCCGUGGCUAAGGCGGCUCUCUAGUACGGUACUGACGCUGAGACGCGAAAGCGUGGGGAGCGAACAGG
rnacentral:rRNA from 1 species